GCUGGCGGCGCGCUUAACACAUGCAAGUCGAGCGAUAACCCAGGCUUCGGCCUGGGGGAAAGCGGCGAACGGGUGAGUAUCACGUGGGUAAUCUGCCCUCGACAUCGGGAUAGCCCGGGGAAACCCGGAUUAAUACCGAAUGGCCCAUCCGCUCUUCGGAGCGGCUGGAAAAGGUAGCUUCGGCCUCCGGUCGAGGAGGAGCCCGCGGCGGAUUAGCUUGUUGGUGAGGUAAUGGCUCACCAAGGCGACGAUCCGUAGCUGGUCUGAGAGGACGAUCAGCCACACUGGGACUGAGACACGGCCCAGACUCCUACGGGAGGCAGCAGUGGGGAAUCUUGCGCAAUGGGCGAAAGCCUGACGCAGCGACGCCGCGUGCGGGAAGAAGGCCUUCGGGUUGUAAACCGCUUUCAGGAGGGACGAAGCCACUCAGGUUAAUAGCCGAGAGGGUGACGGUACCUCCAGAAGAAGCCCCGGCUAACUACGUGCCAGCAGCCGCGGUAAUACGUAGGGGGCUAGCGUUGUCCGGAUUUAUUGGGCGUAAAGAGCGUGUAGGCGGCCAGAUAGGUCUGCUGUGAAAACUCGA
rnacentral:rRNA from 1 species